AUUGAACGCUGGCGGCAGGCCUAACACAUGCAAGUCGAGCGAGCGGCGGACGGGUGAGUAAUGUAUGGGGACUGCCCGAUAGAGGGGGAUAACUACUGGAAACGGUGGCUAAUACCGCAUACUAUCGGAUAACCCAUAUGGGAUUAGCUAGUAGGUGGGGUAAAGGCUCACCUAGGCGACGAUCUCUAGCUGGUCUGAGAGGAUGAUCAGCCACACUGGGACUGAGACACGGCCCAGACUCCUACGGAGGCAGCAGUGGGGAAUAUUGAACAAUGGGCGAAAGCCUGAUGCAGCCAUGCCGCGUGGAUGAAGAAGGUCUUAGGGUUGUAAAGUACUUUAAGUGGGGAGGCGUUACCAGCAGAAGAAGCACCGGCUAACUCCGUGCCAGCCGCCGCGGUAAUUC
rnacentral:rRNA from 1 species